CCUACGGGAGGCAGCAGUGGGGAAUAUUGGACAAUGGGCGAAAGCCUGAUCCAGCAAUGCCGCGUGAGUGAAGAAGGCCUUCGGGUUGUAAAGCUCUUUUACCCGGGAAGAUAAUGACUGUACCGGGAGAAUAAGCUCCGGCUAACUCCGUGCCAGCAGCCGCGGUAAUACGGAGGGAGCUAGCGUUGUUCGGAAUUACUGGGCGUAAAGCGUACGUAGGCGGCUUGGUAAGUCAGAGGUGAAAGCCCACGACUCAAUCGUGGAACUGCCUUUGAGACUGCUUCGCUUGAAGAUGGGAGAGGUUAGUGGAAUUCCGAGUGUAGAGGUGAAAUUCGUAGAUAUUCGGAAGAACACCAGUGGUGAAGGCGGCUAACUGGACCAUUCUUGACGCUGAGGUACGAAAGCGUGGGGAGCAAACAGGAUUAGAUACCCUGGUAGUCCACGCCGUAAACGAUGAUAACUAGCUGUCGGGGCUCUUGGAGCUUCGGUGGCGCAGCUAACGCAUUAAGUUAUCCGCCUGGGGAGUACGGCCGCAAGGUUAAAACUUAAAGGAAUUGACGGCNGAGANGCGACGACGACACGAGGAGAG
rnacentral:rRNA from 1 species